rnacentral:rRNA from 1 species
UACAGAGGGGGCAAGCGUUGUUCGGAAUUACUGGGCGUAAAGGGCGCGUAGGCGGCCUGUUAAGUCGAACGUGAAAUCCCCGGGCUCAACCCGGGAACUGCGUCCGAUACUGGCAGGCUUGAAUUCGGGAGAGGGAUGUGGAAUUCCAGGUGUAGCGGUGAAAUGCGUAGAUAUCUGGAGGAACACCGGUGGCGAAGGCGGCAUCCUGGACCGAUAUUGACGCUGAGGAGCGAAAGCGUGGGGAGCGAACAGG